rnacentral:rRNA from 1 species
CAGUAGCCACGGUAAUACGUAGGGUGCAAGCGUUGUCCGGAAUUAUUGGGCGUAAAGAGCUCGUAGGCGGCUCGUCGCGUCGGCUGUGAAAACCUGGGGCUCAACCCCGGGCCUGCAGCCGAUACGGGCGAGCUAGAAUUCGGUAGGGGAGACUGGAAUUCCUGGUGUAGCGGUGAAAUGCGCAGAUACCAGGAGGAACACCGAUGGCGAAGGCAGGUCUCUGGGCAUUAACUGACGCUGAGGAGCGAAAGCAUGGGGAGCGAACAGGAUUAGAUACCCGAGUAGUCCCUGUCUCUUAUAA